UUUAAAGUUAAACUAAUGUUUUUCAAACAUCAUUUAAAGUCUCUGAACAUCUGGACGCCUAUAUAUCGUGAUUACAGCAUUAGAGAACCACUUGACUUUUUGGUAAAUGGAAGUGUGGUCAUUGAUUCGCUCAGCUGAGAUUUGCAUUAACUUCAUACAUGCAGUCUUCACAUCCUUCGAGGACUAGUGUAGACAACCACUUUAUUCUUCACUGGCCAUCUCAGAGUCUAGUGACAUCUGCUAACCUAGAGACAUUGCACAGAGAAGCUGUAAUGGAUCUCGGAGAUCACUGAUUUCUGAAAGUCGGAGGCUGGAGGAGUGUGGGACUGGCUGUGACCAUAUUGUUGUUACUUGGAGAACCAAUAGAACCAGGACUAGAGUACACAUCCCUUAACUCCAAUGCAGGUCUCUUCCAUUCUUGUAGCCCAUCCUUUUUUGAAUACACCAAUCUUAUGCAUUUUAAGUCAAUCAAAAUUUGAAGUACAGUGAUCUGAUUUUGUGUAAUUUAAAGCGCUACUUACUAAUUUUAUGUUUAAAAUAUUCUAACUUUGAAGACCAAUUUCUACAGAUAAUUAAUGAUUUCAUGUUGGUGGUGACUUAGUUAAGAAUGAUGAUGGAUUAAUUUCUUUGCUAAAUUAUUAUAGUUCUAUGGUAUCAUCUAAAGAGGAUGGGAUCAAAGGGCUACCCAAGUUGGACUCACAUAAGCUAGACUCAUGAAUUUCAUUUGAAAUCGACCAUAAUGUAUUGAGCAUUUACUGUUGUUGGGCCCUGUUCUGGGCAUCCAGGCCAUGGCAUUGAACAGGCCCUGAGUAUUAUCAUCUGCUGUCCUGGAGCUUACUUGUAAGGGAGGAGCAAUUCCUAAUUUGUUCUUUUCAUUCCUGUUGUUAGAGCAAUGGUAUUAGAACUGAAGGGAAAGUUAUUUUCCCUCUGUGAGAGCUCCUGGAUCAGUUAGAUGAAGCCGGUAAUAUACAAAUGAAGUAUUUAUAUAAUCACUGAUUCUGUGGACUCAACAGUAUAGAGAUAGUUGUCUGUACCUAUAGACAGUGUAUGCUGUAAGCAGAACAGGAGCAUUAGAAUAAAGAUGCUAAACCUCUCAGAAUCUCAUUUUCUGAAUUGGUGAAUUAGGACUAAUAAUAGCUUGUGAGUGUCAAAUGAGGUUCAAAGGUAAAGUGACUGGCCUAGCAUAUAAGAAAUGUUCAAUAAAUGGUCGCUGCUAUUAUUGUUUCUUAUUAUUAUGUAUACGUGUAGUCGAAAGAAAGAUUAGAGUGUGCUUAGGUUUUCUUAGUCUUUCCCCCUCCCCUAUAUUACCACAAUUCUUACUUAGCUUUUUUUGUUUUCUUAUGGCACAAAUUAAGUUCACAGGAAUAAUAACAUGCUUCCAGGAAUAUACCUGAAACUAAUUGAAAUUCCACAAAAUAGGUCCAGAGAUAGUUGCUGCUUGUGCUGGGCUUGGGGCCAAUUAGCAAGAAGUACGGGGCACACUGAGGACAGGUGCUGCUUGUUUGGGUUUGUGAGCCUUUGAGAGAUUUUAGGAAAGUCCGCGGCAUUGGGGCAUGGGCCAAGACAAGCCAUAUGUGUGGAAAAGCCACAAGUUGGUGGGACAGCAUCUCAGAGAAUCACCAGGGAGGGGGAAUGGUGUUAGCUGGGUUGAUGGAGAGUCAGAUAUGGUGCCAGCUGGGGCUUGCAGGCUGGGUGGGGAAAAGGCCCCACAAAGGAGCGAUGGCUUCUGCCAGCACUUCUGUCUCAGAGAAUGCUGUCCUUGCAGUUAAUUUUUUAAGAGGCUGAAUGUUUUCUUAAUCAUAACUGUAGGGGUGAUAAUUACAGGUGAUAAAAAUGUUUAAGGAAGUCCUAAUGGUUAUAGGAAAAGAAAGUCCUUACUUUUGAGCCAAAGCUAGAUGUGAUUAAGUGGGUUUGCUUGUUAUUAUUGUUAUUAAUAAGGAAGAGGAGUUUUGUAAGUCUGAAAUAUUAGCCCCUAACUUUUUCAACCUUUUUAAUAUAAAUGUUUAUUUAGAAUUUUAAAAAUUAAGUGAGGACACUAAAAUGGGUUACAAGGUGUCGUAUGAUCUAAACCUUACCUAUAUAUUUUCCUCAUUUUAUCAGAAUUUCUUUCUGGCUCAUUGUGUUUGAACCAUACCUUCCGUUGAAUAUUUUGUAUUAUUUUUGUCAGAGCCUAAGUUUAUACUGGAUUUCCUGCUGGAAUGCAUUCAUCUCUCACCUGGCUGUCCCUUUCUCCUAACUCCCCAUGACCCAGGUCUUCAGACUGUAAGGUGUGUGAAGGCAAGGAUGAUGUCUGUUGUGUUCACCACAGCAUGCUCAGCACCAAAAGCCAGUGGCUGGCUCCUAGUGAAUCUUCUAAUAUUUCUUGACUCAUUUAAUGGACUCAACUAAAGCAGAGACAGGAGGCAACCUAACCAGAUGGAACACUUGAGCUACAUAUUGACCAGAAUUAACUGAAACAACUUGCCCAACUCAAUAAAAAAAGAAACAGCAGCAUCUGAAUGUGAGUCUAACUCCAAAGAGAAUCCUUUUACCAUGCCCAAAGGUAAGGCCAGGCUUGGUGUCCUCCCAUGACUCCCUGAGCUUCAGGUCCUCAUAAUACCCCUCUAAUACCUUCUGUACAAUUUUGCUUUGAAGAAAUAAAAGGUAAUAUAUGGAUAAUUCUUAGCACACAGAAGGUCUGCAAUAAAUGUUGGGUUUCUUCUCCAUUUCAUUUCGUAAUCACUUGCUUAAAACCUUGCUCUUUCUACUAUAUGAUACUGUCCCUUCGAUGUCCCUGAGGCCCCAUAUGUAUACCUCCAACAACACUGAUGACUGUAUUAUAAUCAUUGGCUUACCUCUCUGCUCUUCACUAGUGAGUAAUCAUUGGGCAAGUUGUUCACCUUUAAAUCCAGAGGGCUAUUGUGAUGAUCAGAUGAGUUUUGUAAAUCACUUAGCAUAUAAGUCUUAUGCUUGUAUAUUUUCUUUUUUAAAUAUGUUUUUUUUUUUA